UACGGGAGGCAGCAGGGGGGAAUAUUGCACAAUGGGCGAAAGCCUGAUGCAGCGACGCCGCGUGAGGGAUGACGGCCUUCGGGUUGUAAACCUCUUUCAGUAGGGAAGAAGCGGAAGUGACGGUACCUGCAGAAGAAGCACCGGCUAACUACGUGCCAGCAGCCGCGGUAAUACGUAGGGUGCGAGCGUUAUCCGGAAUUAUUGGGCGUAAAGAGCUCGUAGGCGGUUUGUCGCGUCUGUCGUGAAAGUCCGGGGCUUAACCCCGGAUCUGCGGUGGGUACGGGCAGACUAGAGUGCAGUAGGGGAGACUGGAAUUCCUGGUGUAGCGGUGGAAUGCGCAGAUAUCAGGAGGAACACCGAUGGCGAAGGCAGGUCUCUGGGCUGUAACUGACGCUGAGGAGCGAAAGCAUGGGGAGCGAACAGGAUUAGAUACCCUGGUAGUCCAUGCCGUAAACGUUGGGCACUAGGUGUGGGGACCAUUCCACGGUUUCCGCGCCGCAGCUAACGCAUUAAGUGCCCCGCCUGGGGAGUACGGCCGCAAGGCUAAAACUCAAAGGAAUUGACGG
rnacentral:rRNA from 2 species